CGGAGGGUGCAAGCGUUAUCCGGAUUUACUGGGUUUAAAGGGUGCGUAGGUGGAUAAUUAAGUCAGUGGUGAAAUCUUCAGGCUUAACCUGGAAACUGCCAUUGAUACUAUUUGUCUUGAAUACUUUGGAGGUAAGCGGAAUAUGUCAUGUAGCGGUGAAAUGCUUAGAUAUGACAUAGAACACCAAUUGCGAAGGCAGCUUACUACACAGUAAUUGACACUGAGGCACGAAAGCGUGGGGAUCAAACAGGAUUAGAUACCCUGGUAGUCCACGCCCUAAACGAUGGAUACUCGACAUUAGCGAUAUACAGUUAGUGUCUGAGCGAAAGCAUUAAGUAUCCCACCUGGGAAGUAUGAUCGCAAGAUUG
rnacentral:rRNA from 1 species